rnacentral:rRNA from 1 species
UACGUAGGGUGCGAGCGUUAAUCGGAAUUACUGGGCGUAAAGCGUGCGCAGGCGGUUUUGUAAGACAGAUGUGAAAUCCCCGGGCUCAACCUGGGACCUGCAUUUGUGACUGCAUCGCUAGAGUACGGUAGAGGGGGAUGGAAUUCCGCGUGUAGCAGUGAAAUGCGUAGAUAUGCGGAGGAACACCGAUGGCGAAGGCAAUCCCCUGGACCUGUACUGACGCUCAUGCACGAAAGCGUGGGGAGCAAACAGG